AUGGUAUGUGUGGUUCACUUCGAUGGUGCUUCAAAAGGAAACCCAGGAAAAUCAGGUGCUGGAGCUGUACUUAUGACUGAAGACGGGAGAGUGAUAUCUCGACUUCGUGAGGGUCUUGGUGUUGUUACCAAUAAUGUUGCCGAGUACCGGGGCCUUAUCUUAGGACUGAAAUAUGCCAUCAGGCUUGGAUUCAAGAGAAUCAAAGUAUAUGGUGACUCUCAACUAGUCUGUUAUCAGGUGAAAGGUACAUGGCAAGCAAAGAAAGAGAAUAUGAUGGAACUGUGCAAAGAAGUGAGAAAACUUCAAGAGAACUUCAUCUCUUUUGAGGUCCACCAUGUGCGACGGGUAUUGUACAUUCUUUUGAGGCCCUGA
rnacentral:rRNA from 1 species